rnacentral:rRNA from 1 species
CCUACGGGAGGCAGCAGUGGGGAAUUUUGGACAAUGGGCGCAAGCCUGAUCCAGCCAUGCCGCGUGCGGGAAGAAGGCCUUCGGGUUGUAAACCGCUUUUGUCAGGGAAGAAAUCCUUUGGGUUAAUACCUCGGAGGGAUGACGGUACCUGAAGAAUAAGCACCGGCUAACUACGUGCCAGCAGCCGCGGUAAUACGUAGGGUGCGAGCGUUAAUCGGAAUUACUGGGCGUAAAGCGUGCGCAGGCGGUUAUGCAAGACAGAUGUGAAAUCCCCGGGCUCAACCUGGGAACUGCAUUUGUGACUGCAUAGCUAGAGUACGGUAGAGGGGGAUGGAAUUCCGCGUGUAGCAGUGAAAUGCGUAGAUAUGCGGAGGAACACCGAUGGCGAAGGCAAUCCCCUGGACCUGUACUGACGCUCAUGCACGAAAGCGUGGGGAGCAAACAGGAUUAGAUACCCUGGUAGUCCACGCCCUAAACGAUGUCAACUGGUUGUUGGACGGCUUGCUGUUCAGUAACGAAGCUAACGCGUGAAGUUGACCGCCUGGGGAGUACGGCCGCAAGGUUGAAACUCAAAUGAAAUUGACGGCUGAGACGNGCGACGACGACGACGAGGGAGGAGG